UUAAUUAAAGCCAAAUUAGAGGCAUAUUAUUGUUAAUAAUAUUAUUAUAAAUUUUUUAUUAAUUAAA
rnacentral:tRNA from 1 species